rnacentral:rRNA from 1 species
ACAGGGAUUGCCCCAGUAACGGCGAGUGAAGCGGCAACAGCUCAAAUUUGAAAUCUGGCUCCCUCGGGGCCCGAGUUGUAAUUUGCAGAGGGAGCUUUUGGCGUCGGUCGUGGUCUAAGUUCCUUGGAACAGGACGUCACAGAGGGUGAGAAUCCCGUACGUGGCCGCCGGCCUUCGCCUUGUAAAGCCCCUUCGACGAGUCGAGUUGUUUGGGAAUGCAGCUCUAAAUGGGAGGUAAAUUCCUUCUAAAGCUAAAUACCCGCCAGAGACCGAUAGCGCACAAGUAGAGUGAUCGAAAGAUGAAAAGCACUUUGGAAAGAGAGUGAAAAAGCACGUGAAAUUGUUGAAAGGGAAGCGCUUGCGGCUAGACGUGCCCGCGGUUGAUCAUCCAGGCUCCGGCCUGGUGCACUCCUCCGCGGGCAGGCCAGCAUCAGUUCGGGCGGUCGGAUAAAGGCCUCUGUCACGUACCACCCCUCGGGGUGGCCUUAUAGGGGAGGCGCAACACGGCCAGCCCGGACUGAGGUUCCGCGCAUCUGCUAGGAUGCUGGCGUAAUAGCAGCAAGCGGCCCGUCUUGAAACACGGACCAAGGAGUCUAACAUCUAUGCGAGUGUUUGGGUGUCAAGCCCGAGCGCGCAAUGAAAGUGAACGGAGGUGGGAACCCUCACGGGUGCACCAUCGACCGAUCCUGAUGUCUUCGGAUGGAUUUGAGUAAGAGCAUAGCUGUUGGGACCCGAAAGAUGGUGAACUAUGCCUGAAUAGGGUGAAGCCAGAGGAAACUCUGGUGGAGGCUCGCAGCGGUUCUGACGUGCAAAUCGAUCGUCAAAUUUGGGCAUA